rnacentral:rRNA from 1 species
CCUACGGGGGGCAGCAGUGAGGAAUAUUGGUCAAUGGACGCAAGCCUGAACCAGCCAUGCCGCGUGCAGGAUGACGGCCCUAUGGGUUGUAAACUGCUUUUGUACAGGGGUAAAUCGCGACACGUGUGCCUUGUUGUAUGUACCUUAUGAAUAAGGAUCGGCUAACUCCGUGCCAGCAGCCGCGGUAAUACGGAGGAUUCAAGCGUUAUCCGGAUUUAUUGGGGUUAAAGGGAGCGUAGGUGGUUCGUUAAGUUAGUGGUGAAAUGCCGGGGCUCAACUCUGGCACUGCCACUGAUACUGUCGGGCUAGAGUAUAGUUGCGGUAGGCGGAAUGUAUGGUGUAGCGGUGAAAUGCAUAGAUAUCAUGCAGAACACCGAUUGCGAAGGCAGCUUACCAAACUGCGACUGACGUUGAUGCACGAAAGCGUGGGGAGCAAACAGGAUUAGAUACCCCAGUAGUC